rnacentral:tRNA from 1 species
GCCCCGGUAGUGUAGCGGUUAUCAUACGACCCUGUCACGGUCGUGACGCGGGUUCGAGUCCCGUCUGGGGCGCCA